rnacentral:lncRNA from 1 species
UGUUCAUUUAAAAAUUUAUUAGAUAACUAGCAUGGACUAUACAUGGACAUUUUGAGCCAAAACACUCAAUGCCUAUCUGUCACUGUGGCUGGAGUCCUGAUUCUCCACAUGUAACAUUACAGUAACACAACUGUAAAAGUGAUACAAAAUAACUUGAAAGCAUAAAAAUAGGCCAAUAUGAGAUAGUCCUCAUUUGUUAAUUAAAAGCACCUGGCACCUUUAAUAUUUUGCAGCCUUGUGCCACUUUGGUCUUUUCUCAUCAACACUGGGGGAAUGCACAUUUAAGAUUUGAGCAUUUCAUUGUAUGCAAAUAAUACCUCCUUAAAACAAUGAAAAAGUUCUAGAGGGCAGAUUUUGCAAUUAAUUGAUUAGAAAUAUGGCAUAUUGGUUUACAUAUUGGGUUAUACUCAUGAGUCAUCUGCUGAGACAGAGAAUGAGAAAGAUACAAUUAUUUUCUCACCUUACACCAGGUCUUCUUGCUUGCAGGAUACAUUGAGUUUAAUUAAAUUAUUUUGCUAUGAAUCCCCAUUUCUGAAUGUCUCUCUACAGCUCACGCUAUUUUCCCUCAGCCUCCUGAGUGGCUGAGACAAGUUUUGCUCUAACAAACCUAGACUUCCUGAGUCCACAGCACAUUGAAAUUGGCACAAUCCUAGUAUUUUGUAAGAAUCCAUUUUUCUCCCAUGAAGAACUUUGUUUUCCCAAGAUUUAAAUGGUAAUUACUAUAGGCUCACUUCACCAUUAUCAUAAUCAUGAUUGCUGGUCCCUCCUCCUAAGUCCUUCUCUUUUGUUUCUUCACUUCUCAAUUCAUUAAGACUACUUGUAAGGAUUAUGGAGUUGCUUCAUACAUUCCUGGCAUCUUUGUCAGGUAAUUUCCUCUGUCUCAUGUGUUCUUAGGCUGUAGGCAUUUGUGUCCAUGUCUGAUUCUUUUCUUAAUCUAUAAAAAUUUUGAAGAAAGGAAACAUCUAAUUUACCUUAGCACAGCCACUUGCACCUAGUAGGUGCUGACUAAACAUUUAUUGAAGAGAUGAUGGAGUAGUGAAGAACACAAACCCUAGGGCUAGACUCUUCCACCUACCAGCUGUGUGAUAUCAAGCAUGUUACUUACCCUCUCUAAGCCUCAGUUUCCAUCUGAAUAAUGAAGAUAAUAAGAGUACCUACCUUACUGAAGUUUUGUGGGGAUUAAUGAGCUAAUUUUUAAAAAGCCUUUAGAAGAAUGCCUAACAUACUAUGAAUAUAUACAAAUAAAAUGAAACCAAAUCAUCUUUGGAUCAUAUAUCAAUUUUAUAGAAAACUCUGGCUUUCUAAAUCAAUGUCUACCCUAUUUGGAAAUUUUUCUUAAAAACAACAACAAGCAAAAAGCAAUAAUUCAAUCUAAAGCUAUUUCUUUCAAGUAUUCUAGUUCUGUUAUUCCAGAAUUUGGUGAAUGAAUCUAUUUAUCCAUUAUGAUUUUGUAGCCUUUGAUCAUAUGCCUCUCAUUCUCCAGAUUUUCAGAGGAAGCAUGUCUGUAAUACCUUUUCUUUUUUUCUUAUUUAGGGUCUUUUAUUAUGUCUUCCUUGAAGUGCUCUGAUCAGAUCUGCAAUACUGGAGAUGUAAAUUCAACUCUACUUUUUUUUUCUUUUAAAAAGAAGAGCAACAUAAUCCUUAGUGAUCCUAAAUAUUAUUCAACUUAUCUUAACAUUCAAUUUCUUUAUAUAGCAAAGGAAUGCAUUUUUAGCAAUGAAAUAAACAGCAAACAUUGACAUUGCUUAUUAACAGUAUUUACGGUCGAAGUGCCCCACAUAUUCUGAAAGGUUAUGUUGUACAUUCUUUUAAGAAGACUUCAGGGUUUUCUACUGAAAG